GAUGCUAUCCCCAAUCUUACCACAUUAUUGCCACCGGGGGAGUGGAACUCUUGCAUUACAGCACAACAAGCACCCCAGAACACCAUCAUGAGUGCAAAUAAUCCAGAUCGCAUAAUAAAAAGAACAUGGGGGCACACAUUCCUGUUCAUUUUGGGGCCCACUUUUGUUGCUUUCCAGGGUGCAUUCCAGACAUUUGGCUGCUCUCAUUCUGCCAUCUUAUAAUACUGUAGUUCUUAUCACCAUUAGGGAUGCCCUAUCUCUCUUUAAAUCACAAUGCAUUCGUGGUUUUCCCCACAUCCUGUUGCAGGCAGUUCCUCAGGUUCAUCUGGCUGGUUAUUUUGCUGCCACUCCUUUUAAUUGAGUGCACUUUUAUACUGCAAGCAAGGAAGGACCUACUCCUCAGAGAUCACCAGCUUCUAAUGUUUGAUUUCUCCCCAUCCCCACACCUCUUCUUUUCCUUUCUUUUUCUUUGGGAACCUAACCCGUGUGAGCAGCAUAAGGCAAAGCAAUAGCUCCAGGCUUCUCAGACUGGUCCAUGGUGAUGUCUGUGGCCAUUUAAGUAUUGCUUCAUAACAAAGGCAAACAGUAGAGAACUCACUGUACCCUUGGCUGUUGUUUGUCUGCUAGUGGCUCAUGACCCACAACCAGGUCACGACCUCAGGACCAUUUUUCUGAGCUUAGCGCAAAAUUUGUACUCUCCUAACCUCUGAGGCCCUGGCUAUGUGUAAGCAACUGCUGUUGCUACGAGCUUUUUGAAGGAAAAUGCAGUGAAAAGGAACUCAGAAAGCUGAUUUAUACAGGACUGAGUUGGACCUACUGGUUCACCUAGUUCAGUAUUUUCCACACUGGCUGGCAGCAAUUCCGAAGUAAUUGAAUUCAAUUAAGAAGGGUUAGGAAUGCAGCAUUAUUCACAUAUUUGUUAAAUGUGUUAAAACCAAUUUAACAAAUUUGAUGUGCAGAUUCCUCUGUGGCUCCUGCUGUAUGAGGGCACAAACACUUUCCGGAACGGAACAUGUUCUAAUUAAAAUGUUUUAAUAGAAUAAUGAUAAGCAGGGCUUUAUCAAGGCUGCCCUAAGUAGGGCAGAUAAAAAUGUUAGGUAUUCUGCCUCCAAUUGAAAUACUAGUUUGAACAUCUUAAGAUGUAACUAUGUCAAUGCACAGUCCGUCCCCCCCACAAAUAGCACUUAUUCAUCUUGCCCCUGAGUAGUUAGGUAUGCUGAAAACAGGCACAGAAAAUAUCCAGUUAAAAAUCAAACUAUAAUGGAUAAAACAGAUCAGUAACAGUAUUAGCAAUAAAAACAACAGAGAGUCUUGUUGUUUAUUAUUUAUUAAGGCAUAAACUCUCAUAGACACUUUAAUGCAUGCGAAAAUACUCUUUGUUGCCUUUUGCUGCCACAGAGUCACAGCAACCCUUCUGGAAGCUGUUAUUCAGGCAUGGCGGUGGGACGUGGGGAACAGGACCGACCCAUCCCUAGGAAGCAGCAGGUGAAUUGGGUAUGGAUGCCAAAGGCACAGAUCUCUUGCCAGUUUCAUUUGUGAAGGUAACCUCACAAUCGUUAAGGUGUAAAGGAAAAUAAAUACUCAUACUACACACACACACACACACACACAAACAUACUUUUUUGCAAUUUAAAUUUGAAUAUAUCUUGGUGAAAGCCUUUAGACUUUGACGAGUAUCUCCCCUCCAAAAAAGUCCCACUCCACUGUGCCUUUCUGAAGUGGUGCCCCUCCUUUGAUGGUGGUCCCACAGUUGUGGACUGUUCUGCCUUGCAAAGCCCUCUGUGCAACACCAUCUUAAGCUUUAGAAGACUGCUGAAAGCGUAGGCCUGCCACCGGGCUUUGAGGGAUAAUUACGCAACUUUCGUGCUCUGUUCACUGGUGUUUGUGCAUAUACGUGUAUAACCAUCGUAUUUAUGACAUUUAAGAGGAAGCUGUUGGGAGCUGGCAUCCAGGGUUUUGGAGCGCAGUGUCAUCAGCAUGUGGAUGAAAUUCAGCUUUUUUACUCUGUUCCCUCUGCAUCAGGAAAGCCUGCCUGUGUUUCCAGUGACGGAUUGAGGCAGACUCCUGAUAAGACGAUGGUGCUGUGGUGAGGCCUUUCUCAUGCCCAGGAAUUUAGAGAGACAACCUGUUCUGGAUGGGGUUGCACUUCCCCUGAAGGAGCAGGUGUGUAGCUCAGGAGUGAUCUAAAGCUCACCUGAGGCCCAGGUGGCUUCACUGGAGUCCUGUGACGAGCUCUGGCUGGUUCAUCAGCUAUGGCCAUUCGUGGACUGGGAUAGCUUAGCUAUGGUAGUCCAUGCUCUAGUAACUGUAAUAUAUUUUAUAUGGGGCUUCCCUUGAAGACUGUACGGAAGCUGCAGCUGAUGCAGAAUGGGUCUGUUAAGCAGAGCAGCAGGAUGAAGCAUGUCAGCAAUCCUGAAAACACUGCACUGGUUGCCUGUGAGCUCCGGGCCCAAUUCAUGGUUCUGGUCCUGUUGUACAAAGGCCUGAGCAGCUCAGGGCCCCAGUACUUAAAGGAACACCUCCAUCUAAUAUCUACUGGCCUGUGUUUUGAGAUCUGUGGGAUGGUGCUGAUCGAGUAUGGCCCGUGGGGCAGCAACUCAUGGUGGGCUUUUCCCCAUGGCAUGGCCUCUUUCAUGGCACUCCCUCCCCAGGAGUGUAUCCAUCCCCAACACUGAUGGCCUUCAGGUGCCAAUUGAAGAAGACAUAUCUGUUUGCUUGGGCUUUUGAAGCAUGAAUAUUGAUUGGCAUUUCAGCAGCUGGUGUUCUUUUUUUCUUGCAUACGUUUUGGUUUUAGAGGUGCGUUUUUCUAUGUUGUAAUUAUUGUACAGCUUGCAUUUCCUCCGUUGUUCACUGCCCUCGGCUCCCACAGGGAGAAGGGCAGUCUAGAACUGAAAUAACAUACAAUAAAUAAAUAAUAUCCUACCUUUUGGUCCCGCAGAGUCCUUACAUUAUUUCAAAAAUAAUAUGCAGUUAAAAUUGUAACAUUCAAAUCGGGGGUGGAGAAAACCUUCCAUAAAGCAACCUGCAAUUAUUACGAAUUAAAACCUUAAAAAAAAGACACCAGAACCACUUUAACAGAUUAGAACAGAAUUCAACAGCAUUGUUAUUAUUUUAUAUGUGGAGCUUAUUAUUAAUGUGGUUUUCUUUUUGCUUUGUGACAAUAUGACUUAACUUGUACUGCAUGCUAAGCAUUUGAAAGCAAAUUACGUACUUUAGAUGUAUUCCGCCCCAAAAACCCAUACAAGAUAACAUCUAUUAACAAACAAACUCAGGAGUCCAGUGUUGACAUUUGGUGGGAGCACCAGUCCAUGCUAAACAUUUUUUAAAGGAAAGGAGGGCUCCUUGUUGAGUCCACCUGUUUAGAUAUUAUCCAGUGGCAGAUCACACAUUUUGUGCACACAUUAUCUCUGGUUCAGUUCUCAGCAUCUUUCACUAAAAGGAUUGCUGCUGGCAGCAGGGCUGUACAAGAUCUGCACAUGGUGCCUGACACCAUGGAGAGAUGAUGUCAGUGCCAGAGAGUAGACAACACUGGGCUAGAAUAGAUAGACCAAUGAGAAAGGGCACGUAGCUCAGUGCUAGAGCAUCUGCUUUGCAUGCAAAAGGUUCAAUCCCCAGCAUCUCCAGGGUAGAGCUACCGCCUGAAACCCUGGAGAGCCACUGCCAGCCAGUGUAGACAGCAGAGAGCUAGGUGGACCAGUGGUGGGAUUGCAUGGCAUCUUCCCGCGUUCCUUCCUAUCAGGCAGCUGAGCUUCAUAUGUGCAUUCAUUUGUGUAUUGAUGAAUUCAAUUUAUAUCUUGCCCUUCCUCCCUGAAGGGUGCUCUUUCUCUUACAUAUUCAGAAAGGAGCCCUAUAAAUAUAGACAUAAAUAAAUUGAAUAGGGUGUGUGUGUUUAGUAAUGGGGGAUGCCAGCUGUAGUGACAUUCGGAUGCGUAUAUACCUAAGUAGGAAAAAGGCAGACAUUCAGGGUCACACACACUGUUGAAUAAAGGUGAUUUAGAACUCUUU
rnacentral:lncRNA from 1 species